rnacentral:sRNA from 1 species
AUCAUAGGAACCCAGUCUAAGAACAUCGCAUACUAAGAUAACGACUGAGUGACCAACAUCAUGUUGG